AACAAAAUUGAGUUGUACGCCCCCUAUGGAAAAUUGAUGAACUGUGGUGGUGGUGGAAGUUGCGGGACCUGUAUUGUCGAGAUAAUUGAUGGGAAGGAUCUAUUGAAUGAGAGAACAAAUACUGAACUCCGUUACCUGAAGAAGAAACCCGAAAGUUGGAGGCUUGCUUGUCAGACAAUUGUUGGCAAUAAAGAGAACUCUGGCAAGGUUGUGGUCCAAAGGUUGCCCCA
rnacentral:misc_RNA from 1 species